rnacentral:lncRNA from 1 species
UUAAAAAUUGAGGUUCUAAUAGGUUAAAAGUCUUACUCAGUAUGAGUAGCAGGACCAGGAUUCUAAUCCAGAUCAAUUGAACUCCAAGGACCAGAUCUUCAUCCUGAAAGCUGAAAGAGGUGCUGGCAGCCUACUGAGAUAGAAAUAGGGCUACCUUACAAGACAUUCAUUGUUCUGUGAGUUUAACGGCAGUCCGACAUAAAAACAAUUAUUGUAAGCUACUCGGGAGGCUGAGGCAGGAGAAUCACUUGAACCCUGGAGGUGGAGGUUGCAAUGAGCUGAGAUUUGCCUUUGUACUCCAGCCUGGGCAACAAGAGCGAAACUUCGUCUC